rnacentral:rRNA from 1 species
UACGGAGGGGGCGAGCGUUAUUCGGAAUUAUUGGGCGUAAAGGGUGCGUAGGCGGCUUGAUGUGUCAAAGGUGAAAUCCCUCGGCUCAACUGAGGAACUGCCUUUGAAACUGUCUGGCUUGAGGCCGGGAGAGGGUAGCGGAAUUCCCAGUGUAGCGGUGAAAUGCGUAGAUACUGGGAGGAACACCGGUGGCGAAGGCGGCUACCUGGACCGGUUCUGACGCUGAUGCGCGAAAGCGUGGGUAGCAAACAGG